rnacentral:rRNA from 1 species
AUUGAACGCUGGCGGCAUGCCUUACACAUGCAAGUCGAACGGCAGCACGGGAGCAAUCCUGGUGGCGAGUGGCGAACGGGUGAGUAAAGUAUCGGAACGUGCCCAGUCGUGGGGGAUAACGUAGCGAAAGUUACGCUAAUACCGCAUACGAUCUAUGGAUGAAAGCGGGGGAUCGCAAGACCUCGCGCGAUUGGAGCGGCCGAUAUCAGAUUAGGUAGUUGGUGGGGUAAAGGCCCACCAAGCCGACGAUCUGUAGCUGGUCUGAGAGGACGACCAGCCACACUGGGGCUGAGACACGUCCCAGACUCCUACGGGAGGCAGAAGGGGGGAAUUUUGGACAAUGGGCGAAAGCCUGAUCCAGCCAUGCCGCGUGCAGGAUGAAGGCCUUCGGGUUGUAAACUGCUUUUGUACGGAACGAAAAGGACUGCCCUAAUACGGUGGUCCCAUGACGGUACCGUAAGAAUAAGCACCGGCUAACUACGUGCCAGCAGCCGCCGUAA